rnacentral:rRNA from 1 species
ACGUAGGGCGCAAGCGUUAUCCGGAAUUACUGGGCGUAAAGCGUGCGCAGGCGGCUUUGCAAGACAGAUGUGAAAUCCCCGGGCUUAACCUGGGAACUGCAUUUGUGACUGCAAGGCUAGAGUACGGCAGAGGGGGAUGGAAUUCCGCGUGUAGCAGUGAAAUGCGUAGAUAUGCGGAGGAACACCGAUGGCGAAGGCAAUCCCCUGGGCCUGUACUGACGCUCAUGCACGAAAGCGUGGGGAGCAAACAGGA